rnacentral:tRNA from 1 species
ACUUGUGGUAGCUUAAGUUUAGAGCGUAACAUUGAAGCUGUUAAUGUAGUUGGGUGACUCCCAGGUG